GCAUUUGAGAAUUUAAGUCACUUGACCAAAGUCAGACAACAGUGAUUAUAUUACUACAGUGAUUCUGGAGUGUUCUCAACAAAUAAUAACCUCAGAAACAAGUAGGCACUUGGAGACAUUGGGCUGUGGAUUCAGGUUGCCUAGGUUUGAAUCCUAGUCCCAACAUUUACUAAGGCUCUCUGAUAGUGGGCACAUUAUUUAACUUCCUCAGACCUGUUUCCCCAUCUACAAAAUUGGAUUACCUAUGCUCCAAGAGAGAGGCCAUGUGGGUACACCAUGAGAAGUCUGUCAUCUACAGGAAAGGAAGAGAGCCCUCCCAGGAAACUGACUUUGCCAGACUUUGACCUGGAACGUCUAUUCUCCAGAACUGUCACAAAUGAAGAUUCUGAAAGAGAAGACAGAAUCACUGAGAGAAACUGGGAAGAGCCUCAACAUGAAGAUGAUGAAAAUGGAGACCUUCAUCGUGAUCCACUUCUAAUUAAUGAAUAGGAGGCUUGGGCCGAACUGGGUGAUCAGACAUCAUACACAGAGAAGGAGCAAGAGAGAGAUUACACAGAGGAGGAACAAGGUGUGCAGCGGACAGCCAGUGCCAAGACCUCAGACACAUGACAAGCAAUAGUAGCCAGAAUCCUGGAGUGAAUAGACAUGGAGAAGAGCUGCCUUUUCUUCUCAACUGACAAGUCACGUGGAGGAAAUAAAUCCCUUGAGGACAGUGAAGAAAUAACUUUGAGAUCACCUUCCCAUCCUUCCGAUUUCUUCAAUGAGAGCUUAAAUGGAUUUUCAAAAAAUCAGAGAGCUUGGACAAAAAGUUGAAACAAGUUCAUAUCCUAAGCAUGAUGAAUAAGCCAUGGCAGCUUACACAGACUUGAAGGCCAACCACCUAUGGGCUAGCACAAAGGAGUUCAGCCUUUUUUGAAGUGGGUGGUUUGACCUCUCUUUAUUGUGGAAGCAAAGCAAAUGGCCCCAAACCAUCUGGAUCUGCUGUUAUCACUAGAGGAAUUAUUGCCCAGAAUGUGGACCAAAGGUUAGAAGACUCCACAUUGGAAUCCUGGGUCCGCCGUUAAAUAAUGAGGAACAAGCACUACCUCAUAAGAUCUUACCCUCAUCAUUUAUAAAGUGAUGAUUUAAAAAUAA
ensembl:lncRNA LINC01362 long intergenic non-protein coding RNA 1362